AAGCUUUUGGAUGAAAAACAUGAAGAUAUUCCUAAUGCCAAUAAUCUUCAGAUCCCAGUCCUACAUCGCUAUCUAGUACAGAUGAAGCCUUCUGAUUUGUUGAAGAAAAUGAUCUUGAAGAAAAAGGCCGAACAGCCCAAUGAAACCAUCGAUGACAGUCUUCAUUUAGACCUUGAAAAGCAGGCAUAUUACCUGACCUACAUUCUUCUCCAUUUAAUUGGGGAAGUUAGUUGUUCUCAUUCUUUUUCUUCUGGACAACGGAAACACUUCGUGCUGCUUUGUGGGGCUUUGGAAAAGCAUGUUAAGUGUGAUAUUAGGGAAGAUGCAAGACUUUUCUACAGAACUAAAGUAAAAGACUUGGUUGCCAGGAUACAUGGAAAAUGGCAGGAAAUAAUCCAGAACUGUCGGCCUACUCAGGGGCAGCUUCAUGACUUCUGGGUGCCAGAUUCUUAACAGAAGUUACAGCAGCAAAAAUACAAAACGAGAAGGGCCUUUCCAAGGGGAUUACUGUGGGAUCCAGCAGAUGCUAAGGAACACGGCUGUGUGCAUAUGCAGUGUGAGGCUGGUGAUGAAGACUUUCCCGUUUCUGAAGGAGAUACGAAGUGCCAUCUGCAGCUGCCUGUAGAGGAAAGGGGGGAGGGUGGAAGCAGCUGGUAGCUGCGGACCCAGCCUGCCCCUCCUAGCACCUCCACCUCCUGCUAAGUCUUCAGCAGUUAUCGUGUAAGGGGCUGCAUAGCACUUGGAUCAUCAGAAAGUCAGGAAGAAAAGUGCGGGCCAGCCUGAGAUGGACGCAGAACGGAAGGUUCAGCUGCUUUUCAUUUUCCUUUUGGUUAUUCUAGGGUGGAAAGGGAAGGCUCAGAACAGAGCCCUAUAAUUAGAAGUGUUGGUCUCUUCUAAAAACCCAUAAACCAUAGGCAGUUUCAGCCCAUAUAUAUCCUUUAGUAUUCAAGAUUAUAAAUCUGAGAUUUUUAAAUAUAUUUAAAAUCAAGGAACAGACAUCUGGUAUAUUGUCAGACUGCCCUUAGAGGAAGAGAUUAAGCUACAACAUAGUGACUGUUUUUAAAAUGCCAGAACAUUCACAGGCAGUUUGUUUAGGGUUUCUUGUAAUGCAUAUAUUUUUAAAUACUGGUUUAAUCAUAAAAUCUCAGCUAAGCUAGAAUUCUGGCCAUUGGUAACUAUAUUACAGAAGUCUCUAUAUAAAGGCUUAACAAUCUGGAAGUUUCCAAAAUCCUUGUUUCCACAAGUAUAUAAUUUAGCAGAGGCCUUGAUGGUGUUUAUUUUGGGGACGUGUGUGUGUGUGUGUGUGUGUGUGUGUGUGUGUGUGUGUGUGUACAGGUGCACGUGUAUGCGUGCUCAUGGCACACUCAAGUCUGUAUCUUGAAGUUGUUGCACUUGAAAACCACAGCUGCUCUAAAUUCUUUGAAACACUGGAAAGCCAUCCUUUAGUUUAGAUGUAGAGGUUAGCAGAGGCGCACAUGCUAGGUUGAGCCUUACUCCCUUUGAAGACUUUGGUAGCGACACUCCUGCCGACUGCUGUCAGUUUGCAGAGUUUGCUUCCUAAAAAGGAUGCCAACUGCUUAUUCUUUGAAUGUUGGCUGGAGCGGCUUGCUGUCUCCUGAGCAUGCUAAUGUCUGUGUGGGUCCAGGGGAGAGGGGUGGAGAAGGGAACUGGGCUCAGUGUUAUGGUUUGAGAGGAGAAAAUAAGUUCUGAGAGCUAACUUUCUACCUCUAAACUGAGGCUUAGGAAUAAAAACCAUUUUAUCUUAAAUCCAUCAUUUAAAAUAGCGUUAGCAACUUUAGAGCUCGUGUCAAGCAUUGGGCAGUUAGAGAUUCUAUAGGGAAAACUACACAAAUCACAUUUUCAAGAAUUAAGGCUGAUCCAGGCUCCAAGAGUCAGACCAACAAAAGUUUUAUUCUGUGUUGAGUUUACUGGUAAGAAUAUUGUCUUGAUGCUACCUCUCAAGGGUAUUGUUACAAAUGCCACUAUGGUUAAAGAGAUAGAUACGAAGAGUUAUAUUUGACUGAAGCUUGAAACUCUGGCAUCUAUCUGCCCAACAGUGGGGCUUUCACUCUGUAAUUUAAUACCUUGUAGAUACAUUAUUUGUGUGUAAUUUUAUAAGUGUUCAUAUUUUUCUCAUUUUGCAUUGUGUAAAGUGUACAAAAUCUCAAAGUAUAAAAAUCUGCUUAUAUUGCUUGUAAUUACAGUGUGUAAAUAUUUUCUAUUGUGUACAUUGACGGGGACAAGUGGGUUAUUCAGGUUUUUAAGUGAUCCUUUUAUAUUGCAGUUUCAACCAAUAACCACCCAUCAAAUUUAAAACCACUUUGAUACAUUCUUAUUUAGCAGUUCCAAUAAGAAUAAAAUCUCUAUUUUCAAUUGUCUUUCUCCAUUAGAGAAAAUUACUUUAUCUGUCCCUUUAAAAUAAAUGGCCAGACAUCAGUUCAGGCCUUUGUAUUUAUGACUCUGGUAGCAGUCUUCAGUCUCCAGGUCAUAGUCCAGUCAGUAUUUACAUUUAGGUUCUCGUAGAAAUGUUGUGAUUCUAUUUUAGCACAAGUAGCUCAUGGUUUCUCCCAAAUCAAGUAUUUUCCAUCUCCUUCUGAGUCCCCAUGCGUUGUCUCCCUCUGCCUGUUGUUGCCCAGAAAAUGGGACGGUGAGGAGGGAGGAGAUGCUUGUUGCACAGAGACUGUCAGGCCAUGUGUGGGACUUGGCAAACAAAGCUUGCACUGAGUGGUGGUGUGUUUGGCAAUAUUACUGUGCCAAAAAUAAUCCUUGUCUACUUUUCUGGAUGUGUAUGUCAAACUUUUUACCCUUACUGCAAGCUGAAAAUUAAAGUUCUUGUGUUUAUGCUUUUGUGUGUAACUGCCUUUUCUGACCUGCUUUUCUUGUUACCUGAAAAUACAGUUCUGUAAUUCGUGUUAAAUGAAGAGGCUUUUUGUGCACAAAAUCACCUGUGUAGCACUGAAGUCAGUGUUUGUGCAUUGUUUUGUCUGUGUCCUGAUGGCAACGGUGCCUUUGUCACCUUUCAGAAGGUUGGCUUUUUUUUUUUUUUAAUGCAAGUAGUAGCUUGCUUUUGACUUCACAAAAAAAAGAAAGAAAGAAAAAGAAAGAAAGAAAGAAAGAAAGAAAGAAAGAAAGAAAGAAAGAAAGAAAGAAGGAAAGAAAGAAGGAAAGAAAGAAGGAAAGAAAGAAAGAGGAACAAAGAAAUAUAUACAUAUCUCCCUGGUAAUGAUAGAUAAGAUAGUUACCACCCAGGCGCUGUUGAAGCAUUUGGGGGUUUUUUGUUUGUUUUUUGUUUUGUAUUUUUUUCUCCCCCUCUCCCUCCAAUCAGAAUAGAUAGAGUUGGUGGGGUCAGUAAUAAUGUGUGGAGUCUUGAAACCAGGAGGAUUUUUAAAUUUAAAACCUGACUCAUUGACAAGCAGCUGAGUUGGAGGACUUACUUGGCUUGUCUCUCAGGAGGCAGGGGUAAGGUAUAGUUGGGUGCGAGAGUCAGCAAAAUUCGAUCUUUUGAGGACGCCUACUCUAUGGUGCAGGUGCACCUCAUCUGUGCCUCAGUUUCCCCGGGGCAUUCUUGUCAGCCAGUUAAUCUACUAGCUCUUAGGCAGUAAAUGCAAUGGUUUUUUCUUUCCUUUAAAAUUUUAUACUGUCUUGUUUAAAAGUCUUCUGAAUGUAUGUGUAUGUGUUAUUAAAACUUUUUCUCAGCUUAAACGUGUCUUGUAACAUUUGAUUGAGUAGUAGAGGUGGUUGAGUAUCGAAAAUACCCUGUUUGAAGCUUUUUUCCCUUUAGCUUGAUGCCUUUUUUGUAUCUGUGGAAAACAAAGCCACAGUUCUCCACAGUUCAUGUUUACAUAACGCAAUUAAUAAAUUUACUGUGUACUUUACAGUCAGGAAUUU
rnacentral:lncRNA from 1 species